rnacentral:rRNA from 1 species
UACGUAGGGGGCAAGCGUUGUUCGGAUUUACUGGGCGUAAAGGGCGCGUAGGCGGUCACUACAAGUCAGUUGUGAAAUCUCUGGGCUUAACUCAGAACGGUCAACUGAUACUGUCGGACUAGAGUGCAGAAGGGGCAACUGGAAUUCUCGGUGUAGCGGUGAAAUGCGUAGAUAUCGAGAGGAACACCUGCGGCGAAGGCGGGUUGCUGGGCUGACACUGACGCUGAGGCGCGAAAGCUAGGGGAGCGAACGGG